rnacentral:rRNA from 1 species
GACGUAGGGAGCGAGCGUUGUCCGGAUUCAUUGGGCGUAAAGAGCGCGCAGGCGGUUUGGUAAGUCGGAUGUGAAAUCCCGGAGCUCAACUCCGGGCCUGCAUCCGAUACUGCCCGACUAGAGGUAGGUAGGGGAGAUCGGAAUUCCUGGUGUAGCGGUGAAAUGCGCAGAUAUCAGGAGGAACACCGGUGGCGAAGGCGGAUCUCUGGGCCUUACCUGACGCUCAGGCGCGAAAGCUAGGGGAGCGAACAGG